UGAGCGAGGUACGCGGCUGAAUGGAAAUCUGUACGUCUUAGCAAAAAACUUAAAAGAUAGAAAAGUCAGUACCGAGUCUACCCAGUUCGCUUAUAUUAACUAAGGUUCUUCGAGUUUCGCCUCAACUGGGAAACGGGAAUUGUGGAACAGUUUGUAGUAUGAUAUCUUCCGUUGAAUACUCCAUGUCUUUGGAUUCUUGUCGCUUGAUGUCGGUCGCGAAGUCUUGUAGAGACUCUCCGUAACAUUGAACCCUUCAGCUCCAGGCGAUGAACUUUCCGCAGUUGGUCCCCUCCAUAUCAACACUCCAGGCAGUGCUGCCUACGCUUUUCUCCCGUCCGAUCUGUUUUUUUUUGAAGACCAAAUGCGGGAGCUUUUUUGAUGUGGCUACCGGUUACAUAACCGCAUAACCUACACCACUAGUUUACCAGAUGAUUUUGAGAUUCUUAAACAGGUUGACUUCUUUCCGUCAAUAAAAUCUUGUGCGCUAAGAAAAAUGAAAUUAACAAAAUUU
rnacentral:sRNA from 1 species